GAGUUUGAUCCUGGCUCAGGACGAACGCUGGCGGCGUGCUUAACACAUGCAAGUCGAACGGUAAGGCCCCUUCGGGGGUACACGAGUGGCGAACGGGUGAGUAACACGUGAGCAACCUGCCCUUGACACUGGAAUAACAGUUGGAAACAGCUGCUAAUGCCGGAUAUGACCUUCGGUGGCAUCACCUGGAGGUGGAAAGUGCUUAGCGGUCAAGGAUGGGCUCGCGGCCUAUCAGCUUGUUGGUGAGGUAACGGCUCACCAAGGCUUCGACGGGUAGCCGGCCUGAGAGGGCGACCGGCCACACUGGGACUGAGAUACGGCCCAGACUCCUACGGGAGGCAGCAGUGGGGAAUAUUGCACAAUGGGCGCAAGCCUGAUGCAGCAACGCCGCGUGCGGGAUGACGGCCUUCGGGUUGUAAACCGCUUUCAGUUCCGACGAAGCGCAAGUGACGGUAGGAACAGAAGAAGGACCGGCCAACUACGUGCCAGCAGCCGCGGUGAUACGUAGGGUCCGAGCGUUGUCCGGAAUUAUUGGGCGUAAAGGGCUUGUAGGCGGUUUGUCACGUCGGAAGUGAAAACUCAGGGCUCAACCCUGAGCCUGCUUCCGAUACGGGCAAACUAGAGGAAUGCAGGGGAGAAUGGAAUUCCUGGUGGAGCGGUGGAAUGCGCAGAUAUCAGGAGGAACACCGGUGGCGAAGGCGGUUCUCUGGGCAUUUCCUGACGCUGAGAAGCGAAAGCGUGGGGAGCAAACAGGCUUAGAUACCCUGGUAGUCCACGCCGUAAACGGUGGGCACUAGGUGUGGGGAACAUUCCACGUUCUCCGUGCGAGCUAACGCAUUAAGUGCCCCGCAGGAAGAGUAUUCUCGCAAGCAUAAAACUCAAAGGAAUGUAUCGGGGAGCAGGCUCAAGCGGCGGAGCAUGCGGAUUAAUUCGAUGCAACCAGAAGAACCUCAACUGGGUUUGACAUAUACCGGAAAGCUGCAGAUAUGUAGCCCCCGCAAGGUCGGUAUACAGGCGGGUCAUGGCCGUCGUCAUCUUGUGUUGUGAGAUUCUGGGUUAAGUCGUGCAACGAGAACAAGCCUCGUAAUAUGAAGCCAGCGGAUAAUCCCGGGGAGUCAUAGGAUCAGGCCGGGGUCCACUCGGAGGAAGGUGGGGAUGACGUCAAGUCAUCAUGGCCCUUACGUAUCAGGGUUACACACGUACUACAAUGGUAGGGACAGAGGGCUGCAAGCCGGCGACGGUAAGCCAAUCCCAGAAACCCCAUCUCAGUCCGGAUUGGAGUCUGCAACUCGACUCCAUGAAGUUGGAAUCGCUAGUAAUCGCAGAUCAGCUCAUAUGCGGUGAAUACGUUCCCGGGCAUUGUACACUCCAGUCGUCACGCCAUGGGAGUCUGUUGCACCAGAAGCAGGUAGCUUAACCUUCGGGAGGGCGCUUGCCACGGUGUGGCCGAUGACUGGGGAGAAGUCGUAACAAGGUAGCCGUAUCGGAAGGUGCGGCUGGAUCACCUCCUUUCU
rnacentral:rRNA from 1 species